UACAGAGGUCUCAAGCGUUGUUCGGAAUUACUGGGCGUAAAGCGUGCGUAGGCGGCGGGGUAAGUCGGGUGUGAAAUCUCGGGGCUCAACUCCGAAAUUGCAUUCGAUACUGCCUUGCUCGAGCACUGGAGAGGAGGCUGGAAUUUACGGUGUAGCAGUGAAAUGCGUAGAUAUCGUAAGGAAGGCCAGUGGCGAAAGCGAGCCUCUGGACAGUUGCUGACGCUGUGGCACGAAGGCUAGGGGAGCAAACGGG
rnacentral:rRNA from 1 species